GAAUACCAAGAUGGAGUUAUGCUCAAGUGACAAGUCUAUAAAACCUUAAACCUUACUUAUAAAAUGUAUGCACAUCAAAUAUCAAAAUUAAAGUAUUAUGUCUUUGUUCUGAGAAACUUAUAAAUGUGUAGUUUUGUGUUUUAACAUAUUGGUAUCUGAAUUCAAAGAAAAAAUAUAAAAUUUUUUAUGAAAAAAUUGAAUCUUCAAUCAUCGUUUACUGAAUCAAUAAUAGUAUGUUCAAUAUUAAUAUGGACUAUCUCAACUUAAAUUGAUAUUUGUUAUUGUCUACAACUACACUACUACCAACGUCAAAUUUGGUGUAUUAUAUUAUUGUAGUCAAUCAGUCUAAACUAAUUCCAACAAUACAUUGUCGAAUGUUGUGGUAUUCAAUUUUCAGUAAAUUUAUAGGUGUUUUAUUUUAAGUUACUGUGGCACACUAUUGCAGAUAACGGUUUUCCAUUAAGUCAGUAAGAAGAAUAAGAUGGAUUCACAAGUUCAAAUCAAAUAUUAGACAACUAUAUAUAUUUAGUUAUUCAGCUAAAAAUGUAAUUCAUAAAAUAAUUUAAAAGUACUUUAUCAUUUUAAAAGUGACAUAAAGUUUUUAAACUCUAAGUAUUUAAACACACAUAUACUUAACAUAUCUAUAAUUAUUAUACAUUAUUUAUUAAUUAUUAAUGAUGAAUUCUUUAUUUAAUAUUAAUUUAAUCUAAAAUGCUGCUGAGAAUGUUAAUAUUUCUAAAAUAUGUUAUUGUCUUAAUCCAAAUCUUGAAAUUAUUUUCAUGAUGGCAUAGUUUUGGCAUUAGCUAUUACAGAAUUUAUUGACAAUUUUCUAGUGGUUUACGAUUAAGUUUUUAUAAGUAAUAAAGUAAAUAAAAUUAUAAAACACAAAAUAGAAAAAAAAAAUGUUAACUAUUGGAUUAAGUGUAAAAAAGUAAAUUGAAUGAAUAUACUUAUAAAUAUUUUUUAAC